rnacentral:rRNA from 1 species
UGAGCAAUCUGCCCUUCUCAUCGGAAUAAGCGUUGGAAACGACGUCUAAUGCCGAAUACGACCUCCUUUCGCAUGAUCGGAGGUGGAAAGCUCCGGCGGAGAAGGAUGAGCUCGCGGCCUAUCAGCUAGUUGGUGUGGGUAAUGGCCCACCAAGGCGACGACGGGUAGCCGGCCUGAGAGGGUGACCGGCCACACUGGGACUGAGACACGGCCCAGACUCCUACGGGGGNAGCG